rnacentral:piRNA from 1 species
UGCAGAGCUAUGUGGUGUUGUGGAGC